GACGAACGCUGGCGGCGUGCUUAACACAUGCAAGUCGAACGGGAACCUUUAUUUCGGUAAAGGUGAGAGUGGCAAACGGGUGAGUAACACGUAGGCAACCUGCCGACAGGAUGGGGACAACAUUCCGAAAGGAAUGCUAAUACCGAAUGGAGUCCGAGGAUGGCAUCAUCCUUGGAUAAAAGAUGGCCUCUUAACAAUGCUAUCGCCUGUCGAUGGGCCUGCGUCUGAUUAGCCAGUUGGCGGGGUAACGGCCCACCAAAGCGACGAUCAGUAGCCGGUCUGAGAGGAUGAACGGCCACAUUGGGGACUGAGACACGGCCCAGACUCCUACGGGAGGCAGCAGUGGGGAAUCUUCCACAAUGGGCGAAAGCCUGAUGGAGCAACGCCGCGUGAGUGAAGAAGGUCUUCGGAUCGUAAAGCUCUGUUGCACGGGCGAAAACUGGGUUUGAAAACAUUGAACCUGGGUGACGGUACCGAGCGAGGAAGCCACGGCUAAC
rnacentral:rRNA from 1 species